CUUCACUCAGAAAAACACACCCGGGUACACAAUUAGGGUUUCUCAUUCUCAUACCAUUCUAUCCGCCCCCAUCGAGCUGCUUCAUCUCCAGGCGAUUCAAAAGGAGAUCUAGGGUUUCUCUUGGCGAUGCAAAUGCAAGAUCUGGCUUUCUCAAUGACACCAGAUCAGCGAAUCUCUCUCUAUACGACACCCAAUCGACUGAGUUUGAAGGUGGUGAAGGGCUUGGAUCUGCCAAUCAGUGACGUAUGAGCAAGGGGGUGUUUGGUCUGCCAAUCGGUGAUGUAUGAGCAAGAUUUCACAAGAUCUAAAGACGGCGUGGUGUGUAGCGUUAAAUCCGACGACUACGCUUCCGGUGGUAUAAUUCUCAAGCCGAUCGGUGGCAAUAGAGACGAGUUCCGGUUUUAGAUGGUGGUUGAGGUAGGUUCCGACAAACUGAGUUGCAGAUCUAGGUUUCACCAGUUGGCGUAGGCGAUACUGCAUCAUCAAAAUGAAUGGUUUCUGAAUGGAGAUCCCUAAAGAUACUACACCCACAAACGGAGGUACCAGAUCUGGUGGUGAUGGCGGCUGGGUUUCGCCGCAGGCGGUAUAGACAUUUGUUCACACCCGAAUUGUACUGGUUGACUAACAAAGAAUGAUUUGUUUUUUGUUUUUUUUAAUAAUAUUUUUUGAAAUGAAAUUGGCGAGUUGGGUAAAGGGUCAAAACAGGUGCGGGUUUAAAUGGGUCAUUUUAAACUACUUGUUGAAACUGGCUGGGUCAAUCACAUUGGGUUUGGUUGACCCGUGGUAAACGCAUACCAUCCACCUUAAAAAAAUAGUAAAUGACCAAAAUUGAAACAAUGUUAAGUUGUUAACAAUCGGUUCUUUAGUUAGGUUGCAUAAUGUGCUAUUUUUACAGUCUGAUCAAAACACGAAGAGCCUAAAGGCAGAGCUCAGAGCCAUUCUUCCGGAACUAGAAGAAAUGAGGAAGAGGAAAUCCGAAAGAAAGAAUCUGUUCAUCGAAGUUUUAGAACAGAUACAAAGAUACAAAUGGAAAUUUACACAACUUCUGCUAAGACACUCUUGGAUGAAACUGAUUUAUCAUUAAGAAAAAUUGAAGAACUUCAUGUGCAGUUACAAGCACUUGAGAAACAGAAGAGUGAUCGAAUUAAGAAAGUUCUACCACAUGAACACGUUGAAUUCACUAUGUUUGGUGCUUAGAAUGGACUCUAAUCAGACGGUUCACGAAACUAAUCCUGGUUUAGCAUAAACCGAAGGAACAAAGAUUCUAAGUAACGAUGCGAUCAUGAGUCUCGCUACUGCUAUACGUAAAUUGCAUGAGGUCAAAAUUGAGAGAAUGCCAUGAGUCAUUAGUGGCCAUUUGGGGUGGGUGAGAUCUGUUGCGUUUAGUCCAAAUAACGAGUGGUUUUGUACCGGUUCUGCAGAUCGAACGAUUAAGAUUUGGGAUACUGGAUCAGGACGGUUAAGGUUGACACUAACAGGGCAUAUAGAACAAGUUAGAGGAACCCUGCUACUUUUCUUCAUGCAUACACUUGUCUUCCCCUUGCUUACGCUACAAGGCAAGCUGCUGAUGCUAUUUUGCAAGAUGUUGCUGAUACGGGUGUCGUUUACCUUGAAAGGGAUCGUUUACCUUCCACUGAAAACUAUAUGUUCAAGGUUCGAAAAAAUACCAUUGGUGCGCUUUAAUUACUGGGAAUACCGUAUGAAGUUAUCUGAAUAACAAUUUCAUACGAUGAUAUCUUAUAAAUUCACUUGUGCAUUAGGUAUAUACCAAGUAUCGUAAAACCUCAAGUUGCUUGUGGUGUAGCUGGUUUUAACCAAAAUGUAUACAACUAAAAUCAGACUGUUUUAAAAAGUGGCCAGUUUAGUUUGUGCAGAACGGCUUCAGACCAUCUGCUGGGGCAACAAGUCGUUGUGGGUUUCGACCAACAUGCGUACGAACGAAAACAGACUGUUUUAAAAAUUGGCUCAUUUGGUUUUUUGGGUCAGCAUGUGUUCAGGUCAUCAGUCUGGCUAACGGGACCUAGCAAGUUCGGGUUCAUGGAAAGAAAACAAUUAAAAACAUCCAUCAAGAUAUUGAAAUGAUCCAUGGGAAGUAUGUACCCUAUCAGUUCUUGGUGUACUGGUUGCUUAUUAUGUAUGUAAUAAAUCAAGCUUGCAGAUAUUCAUAACUAAAUUUCAGUUUACCUUGUAUACAUUAUAUGAACCCAAUGUGUAGAGAAAAAAGCUUUAGUUUUAUAAAUUGAGCUUUAUUUUGGUUUUUGAA